CGGGGGGGCGAAGCGUUGUUCGGAAUUACUGGGCGUAAAGGGCUCGUAGGUGGCCAACUAAGUCGGACGUGAAAUCCCUCGGCUUAACCGGGGAACUGCGUCCGAUACUGGUUGGCUUGAGUUUGGGAGAGGGAUGCGGAAUUCCAGGUGUAGCGGUGAAAUGCGUAGAUAUCUGGAGGAACACCGGUGGCGAAGGCGGCAUCCUGGACCAAUACUGACGCUGAGGAGCGAAAGCCAGGGGAGCAAACGGGAUUAGAUACCCCGGUAGUCCUGGCCCUAAACGAUGAAUGCUUGGUGUGGCGGGUAUCGAUCCCUGCCGUGCCGAAGCUAACGCAUUAAGCAUUCCGCCUGGGGAGUACGGUCGCAAGGCUG
rnacentral:rRNA from 1 species